rnacentral:rRNA from 1 species
GACGAACGCUGGCGGCGUGCUUAACACAUGCAAGUCGAACGGAAAGGCCCUGCUUUUGUGGGGUGCUCGAGUGGCGAACGGGUGAGUAACACGUGAGUAACCUGCCCUUGACUUUGGGAUAACUUCAGGAAACUGGGGCUAAUACCGGAUAGGAGCUCCUGCUGCAUGGUGGGGGUUGGAAAGUUUCGGCGGUUGGGGAUGGACUCGCGGCUUAUCAGCUUGUUGGUGGGGUAGUGGCUUACCAAGGCUUUGACGGGUAGCCGGCCUGAGAGGGUGACCGGCGACAUUGGGACUGAGGGACGGCCCAGACUGCUACGGGAGGCAGCGGUGGGGAAUAUUGCACAAUGGGCGGAAGCCUGAUGCAGCAGCGCCGCGUGCGGGAUGACGGCCUUCGGGUUGUAAACCGCUUUCGCCUGUGACGAAGCGUGAGUGACGGUACUGGGUAAAGAAGCACCGGCUAACUACGUG